rnacentral:rRNA from 1 species
CCUACGGGAGGCAGCAGUGGGGAAUAUUGGACAAUGGGCGAAAGCCUGAUCCAGCAAUGCCGCGUGAGUGAAGAAGGCCUUCGGGUUGUAAAGCUCUUUUACCCGGGAAGAUAAUGACUGUACCGGGAGAAUAAGCCCCGGCUAACUCCGUGCCAGCAGCCGCGGUAAUACGGAGGGGGCUAGCGUUGUUCGGAAUUACUGGGCGUAAAGCGUACGUAGGCGGCUUUGUAAGUCAGAGGUGAAAGCCCACGACUCAAUCGUGGAACUGCCUUUGAGACUGCUUCGCUUGAAGAUGGGAGAGGUUAGUGGAAUUCCGAGUGUAGAGGUGAAAUUCGUAGAUAUUCGGAAGAACACCAGUGGCGAAGGCGGCUAACUGGACCAUUCUUGACGCUGAGGUACGAAAGCGUGGGGAGCAAACAGGAUUAGAUACCCUGGUAGUCCACGCCGUAAACGAUGAUAACUAGCUGUCGGGGCUCUUGGAGCUUCGGUGGCGCAGCUAACGCAUUAAGUUAUCCGCCUGGGGAGUACGGCCGCAAGGUUAAACUCAAAGGAAUUGACGG